CACGGGGGGAGCAAGCGUUGUUCGGAAUCACUGGGCGUAAAGGGCGUCUAGGCGGUCAGAUAAGUGGGAUGUGAAAUGCCCCGGCUCACCCGGGGACCGGCAUCCCAAACUGUCUGGCUUGAGUAUGGGAGAGGAUGUGGGAAUUCCUGGUGUAGCGGUGAAAUGCGUAGAUAUCUGGAGGAAUACCGGUGGCGAAGGCGGCAUCCUGGACCAAUACUGACGCUGAGGCGCGAAAGCUAGGGGAGCAAACGGG
rnacentral:rRNA from 1 species